GGUUAAGUUAACAAGGGCGCAUGGUGAAUGCCUUGGCACUAGGAGCCGAUGAAGGACGGGACUAACACCGAUAUGCUUCGGGGAGCUGUACGUAAGCUAUGAUCCGGAGAUUUCCGAAUGGGGCAACCCAGCAGUUUUAAUCAACUGUUACCACUAGAUGAAUUCAUAGUCUAGUUGGAGGUAAACGCUGUGAACUGAAACAUCUCAUUAGCAGCAGGAAUAUAAAGAAAUUUCGAUUCCCUAAGUAGCGGCGAGCGAACGGGGAACAGCCCAAACCAAAGUGCUUGCACUUUGGGGUUGUAGGACUGAACAUUUGAGUUACCAAAGAACUUGAUAGUCGAAGGAUUUGGGAAAAUCCGCCAUAGAUGGUGAUAGCCCAGUAGAUUAAAUCAAAUUCUCUCAGUUCAGGAUCCUGAGUACGGCGGAACACGUGAAAUUCCGUCGGAAUCCGGGAGGACCAUCUCCCAAGGCUAAAUACUACCUAGUGACCGAUAGUGAACCAGUACCGUGAGGGAAAGGUGAAAAGCACCCCGGGAGGGGAGUGAAAUAGUUCCUGAAACCAUGUGCCUACAAUAAGUCAGAGCGCGUUAAUGCGUGAUGGCGUGCCUUUUGUAGAAUGAACCGGCGAGUUAUGAUCCCGUGCAAGGUUAAGACUAAAAAGUCGGAGCCGUAGCGAAAGCGAGUCUGAAAUGGGCGUUUUGAGUACGAGGUUAUAGACCCGAAACCAGGUGACCUAUCCAUGUCCAGGUUGAAGGUGCGGUAAAACGCACUGGAGGACCGAACCCGUGUAAGUUGAAAAUUGCUGGGAUGAGGUGUGGAUAGCGGUGAAAUUCCAAACGAACUUGGAGAUAGCUGGUUCUCUCCGAAAUAGCUUUAGGGCUAGCCUCGGAAUUAGGAUCAUGGAGGUAGAGCACUAUUUGGACUAGGGGCCCGUCUUGGGUUACUGAAUUCAGAUAAACUCCGAAUGCCAUUGAUUCAUAUCCGGGAGUCAGACGAUGAGUGAUAAGAUCCACCGUCGAAAGGGGAACAGCCCAGACCAUCAGUUAAGGUCCCUAAAUGUAUGCUAAGUGGAAAAGGAUGUGGAGUUGCAUAGACAACUAGGAUGUUGGCUCAGAAGCAGCCACCAUUUAAAGAGUGCGUAAUAGCUCACUAGUCGAGUGAUCCUGCGCCGAAAAUGUACCGGGGCUAAGCAUACUACCGAAACCAUGGAUGCGACCAUUAGGUCGCGUGAUAGGAGAGCGUUCUAAGGGCAGUGAAGCAAGAUCGUGAGGACUUGUGGAGCGCUUAGAAGUGAGAAUGCCGGUAUGAGUAGCGAAAGAUAGGUGAGAAUCCUAUCCACCGAAUGACUAAGGUUUCCUGGGGAAGGCUCGUCCUCCCAGGGUUAGUCGGGACCUAAGUCGAGGCCGAGAGGCGUAGACGAUGGAUAACAGGUUGAGAUUCCUGUACUAGUUAAGUGCGUUUGAGCAAUGGAGGGACGCAGGAGGCUAAGAUGUGCAUUCUGUUGGAUUAGAAUGUCCAAGCAGUAAGUCUUGUGAAGAGUCAAAUGCUUUUCACUUUAAGGACAAGCUGUGAUGGGGAGCGAAAUUUAGUAGCGAAGCGUCUGAUGUCACACUGCCGAGAAAAGCUUCUAGUGAGUACUUAACUACCCGUACCGCAAACCGACACAGGUAGUCGAGGAGAGAAUCCUAAGGUGAGCGAGUGAACUCUCGUUAAGGAACUCGGCAAAAUGACCCCGUAACUUCGGGAGAAGGGGUGCUGAUCGCAAGAUCAGCCGCAGUGAAUAGGCCCAGGCGACUGUUUAUCAAAAACACAGGUCUCUGCAAAAUCGUAAGAUGACGUAUAGGGGCUGACGCCUGCCCGGUGCUGGAAGGUUAAAAGGAUGGGUUAGCUUCGGCGAAGCUCAGAAUUGAAGCCCCAGUAAACGGCGGCCGUAACUAUAACGGUCCUAAGGUAGCGAAAUUCCUUGUCGGGUAAGUUCCGACCCGCACGAAAGGCGUAACGAUCUGGGCACUGUCUCAACGAGAGACUCGGUGAAAUUAUAUUGUCCGUGAAGAUGCGGACUACCCGCGACAGGACGGAAAGACCCCAUGGAGCUUUACUGUAGCUUGAUAUUGAGUGUUUGUACAGCUUGUACAGGAUAGGUAGGAGCCAUAGAAACCGGAACGCUAGUUUCGGUGGAGGCGUUGGUGGGAUACUACCCUCGCUGUAUGACCACUCUAACCCGCACCACUAAUCGUGGUGGGAGACAGUGUCAGGUGGGCAGUUUGACUGGGGCGGUCGCCUCCUAAAAAGUAACGGAGGCGCCCAAAGGUUCCCUCAGAAUGGUUGGAAAUCAUUCGCAGAGUGUAAAGGCACAAGGGAGCUUGACUGCGAGACAGACAGGUCGAGCAGGGACGAAAGUCGGGCUUAGUGAUCCGGUGGUACCGUAUGGAAGGGCCAUCGCUCAACGGAUAAAAGCUACCCUGGGGAUAACAGGCUUAUCUCCCCCAAGAGUCCACAUCGACGGGGAGGUUUGGCACCUCGAUGUCGGCUCAUCGCAUCCUGGGGCUGUAGUCGGUCCCAAGGGUUGGGCUGUUCGCCCAUUAAAGCGGUACGCGAGCUGGGUUCAGAACGUCGUGAGACAGUUCGGUCCCUAUCCGUCGCGGGCGUAGGAAAUUUGAGAGGACCUGUCCUUAGUACGAGAGGACCGGGAUGGACAUACCUCUGGUGUACCAGUUGUGCCGCCAGGCGCAUCGCUGGGUAGCUACGUAUGGAUGUGAUAAACGCUGAAAGCAUCUAAGUGUGAAACACACCUCGAGAUGAGAUUUCCCAUUCCUUUAUGGAAGUAAGACCCCUGAAAGAUGAUCAGGUAGAUAGGUUAGAAGUGGCAGUGCGGUGACGCAUGAAGCGGACUAAUACUAAUCGGUCGAGGACUUAACCAA
rnacentral:rRNA from 1 species